ACGAACGCUGGCGGCGUGCUUAACACCUGCCAGUCGAACGGUGAAGCUCCAGCUUGCUGGAGUGGAUCAGUGGCGAACGGGUGAGUAACACGUGAGCAACCUGCCCCUGACUCCGGAAUAAGCGCUGGAAACGGCGUCUAAUACUGGAUACGAGAAGGGUCCGCAUGGGCACUUUCUGGAAAGUUUUUCGGUUGGGGAUGGGCUCGCGGCCUAUCAGCUUGUUGGUGAGGUAAUGGCUCACCAAGGCGACGACGGGUAGCCGGCCUGAGAGGGCGACCGGCCACACUGGGACUGAGACACGGCCCAGACUCCUACGGGAGGCAGCAGUGGGGAAUAUUGCACAAUGGGCGAAAGCCUGAUGCAGCGACGCCGCGUGAGGGAUGACGGCCUUCGGGUUGUAAACCUCUUUCAGCAGGGAAGAAGCGAAAGUGACGGUACCUGCAGAAGAAGCACCGGCUAACUACGUG
rnacentral:rRNA from 1 species